GGUUCUUUGGCCAAUUUGGGUAAGGCGUGGUCCGUUUGUAACACCAAGAUGAGCAGUUCGAAUCUGCUAAGAACCA